UCGAAUUUCAAUGACACAAUGUAUUUCUUCAUCAUUUAAAACUAUAACGUGACUAAAUUAAAGAUUUGUGUUUUCAACUAGGAUUACAAAAUCAACUAUCAAUUCUGAAAUAAUUACAGCUAUUUUAUUUUUUGUGUGUUCUAGAAGAUUCUGAAAAUCCGCUACAUGUUAUUCAUUUAUAUGCUUAAUACUCAGCUUUGCCUCGUAUCUUUAUAUCUGAUAAAACACUGCUCACAAUUCUUAUACACUAACAUAUUAGGAAAUUUCAUUAUUUCACAAGCAUGAGUCAGCAUCGUACUGAAAAAUAUUAGCAAUCAGUAUUGAAAGAAAUCUAAAUAUGUGUUUUAUGUUCAAUUUAUAGACAUACAUAAUGAAAAGCUGCCAAAUGAAAUGCCUUCAAAUUGAUAUAGCACUUGUAAGUACAUGCUAUUGUAUGUCUCGCACUUAAUACAUGCAAUCAAAAUUCGUCUUCAAGCAGUAUAUGCUUUGACUCAUUUGAUACAAUGCCCAUGAUGCCUUAAUUUCUACUAUUAUUCUGUCUUUAUUUACAGUCCAUCCAUAUAGUCACUAGAGAUCUGUAGAUUUGAUUACAUUUACGAGUACAACAUUCAUCAUUUGCGUGUUAGUUGCGUCAUAUUUUUCUAUCGUAACUGCCUCCUAGUGAUUCAAAAUAUGACGUGACUGCAUGCCUGCAUGCAAAUUGUGCAUUUUGUACUUGUAAUUAACUUACUCUAUAAUGUAGUCAAAAAGGAAACUUAUUUCGAUAAUCAAUUAUGUGUGUAUUUUUUUUUAAUCAUUUCUUUCUUUGACAAGAUCAUUUAAGGAAAAACGAUUGACCUUUUCAAUAAAAACGACGCCAUCUUAAGUCGCAACGGUUUUCUCAUCAGUUUUGUCUCGAUAAAUAAAAUUGCAGUCGUAAACGAAUUAGCGUUUAUAGCGAAUAUUUGGAAUAUUUGUGGUUUUUGACACAAGACAUACUUAUUUUCAACAAUUUUAAAACUUACAUUCAAGGCAGGUUUACGCAAUAUAUACACUAAGUACAAGGCAGCAUUACAUUGCAGUCAUAUGAGCCGGUGAUACGAGCCCGCAUACCUAUAGACGUCUUGGAUGUAGUGGAGAUCUUCAUCCUGCGCCUGCCGGAUUAAAUUCGAAUGUAUUUAACAGUACUUACUAUAAUUAGCACUUGCAAACACAUAUAUGCUUCAUUCAGGUUUUUUGCAAUUUCUUUUUUU